AACAGGAUUAGAUACCCUGGUAGUCCACGCCGUAAACGGUGGGUACUAGGUGUGGGUUUCCUUCCUUGGGAUCCGUGCCGUAGCUAACGCAUUAAGUACCCCGCCUGGGGAGUACGGCCGCAAGGCUAAAACUCAAAGAAAUUGACGGGGGCCCGCACAAGCGGCGGAGCAUGUGGAUUAAUUCGAUGCAACGCGAAGGACCUUACCUGGGUUUGACAUGCACAGGACGACGGCAGAGAGGUCGUUUCCCUUGUGGCCUGUGUGCAGGUGGUGCAUGGCUGUCGUCAGCUCGUGUCGUGAGAUGUUGGGUUAAGCCCCGCAACGAGCGCAACCCUUAUUUCAUGUUGCCAGCGCGUAAUGGCGGGGACUCGUGAGAGACUGCCGGGGUCAACUCGGAGGAAGGUGGGGAUGACGUCAAGUCAUCAUGCCCCUUAUGUCCAGGGCUUCACACAUGCUACAAUGGCCGGUACAAAGGGCUGCGAUGCCGCGAGGCUUAGCGAAUCCUUUAAAGCCGGUCUCAGUUCGGAUCGGGGUCUGCAACUCGACCCCGUGAAGUCGGAGUCGCUAGUAAUCGCAGAUCAGCAACGCUGCGGUGAAUACGUUCCCGGGCCUUGUACACACCGCCCGUCACGUCAUGAAAGUCGGUAACACCCGAAGCCAGUGGCCUAACCCUUUGGGGGGGAGCUGUCGAAGGUGGGAUCGGCGAUUGGGACGAAGUCGUAACAAGGUAACCGUA
rnacentral:rRNA from 1 species